UGGGGAAUAUUGCGCAAUGGACGAAAGUCUGACGCAGCGACGCCGCGUGAGGGAUGAAGGUCUUCGGAUCGUAAACCUCUGUCAGAGGGGAAGAAACUACGGGGUGCUAAUCAGCUCCGUACUGACGGUACCCUCAAAGGAAGCACCGGCUAACUCCGUGCCAGCAGCCGCGGUAAUACGGAGGGUGCGAGCGUUAAUCGGAAUCACUGGGCGUAAAGCGCUCGUAGGCUGGUUGUUAAGUCAGAGGUGAAAUACCUAAGCUCAACUUAGGGGCUGCCGUUGAUACUGCAUAGCUGGAAUAUGGUUGCUGUUGGCGGAAUGUGUAGUGUAGCGGUGAAAUGCAUAGAUAUUACACAGAACACCUAUUGCGAAGGCAGCUGACAAAACCAUUAUUGACGCUGAGGCACGAAAGUGUGGGGAUCAAACA
rnacentral:rRNA from 1 species